rnacentral:rRNA from 1 species
UACGUAGGCAGCAAGCGUUGUUCGGAAUUACUGGGCGUAAAGCGUGCGCAGGCGGUUUUGUAAGUUUGUCGUGAAAGCCCCGGGCUCAACCUGGGAAUGGCGAUGAAGACUGCAAGGCUAGAGUGUGUCAGAGGGGGGGUAGAAUUCCACGUGUAGCAGUGAAAUGCGUAGAGAUGUGGAGGAACACCGAUGGCGAAGGCAGCCCCCCUGGGGAUAACACUGACGCUCAUGCACGAAAGCGUGGGGGAGCAAACAGG